CUUUUUAUUUAAAAACUAUAAAACAUGGUUCGUCGGUGCCAAAUUUGUAAGAAAUUGGACUAUUUAAGUCCUGGAACAACAUUCCACAGAUUAUGCUGCCAAAGUUUCCUGAAUACAAUUCCGACCACUCUGUAUAUCAAGAUAUCCCCCAUUACGUACUAGUUUUUCUUAAUAAUUUUCUAUACAUUUUCCAACGCCAAGAUGUACCAAGCGCAUACAAAUACAUCAAGCUUCAAACAAGCUUGCACGUUGACAGUAAUACCUACAGUAAUAUUGUAUUAUAUUAAUGUAAUAUUUUUGAACCAAUGUUCAAUAUUACUGUAGUAAUACUGUUUAUACUCAUGCCUUUUAUAUUUGUUUGAAUUUGGUGCAUAUUUCCAUUGAAUAAAGUAUAGUCACCAUUACCAUUAUUAUACUUACUCUAUAAUAAAGACAGUAACGAGUUAAA
rnacentral:lncRNA from 1 species